rnacentral:rRNA from 2 species
UUAAUUUGAGAGUUUGAUCCUGGCUCAGGACGAACGCUGGCGGCGUGCCUAAUACAUGCAAGUCGAACGAACUCUGGUAUUGAUUGGUGCUUGCAUCAUGAUUUACAUUUGAGUGAGUGGCGAACUGGUGAGUAACACGUGGGAAACCUGCCCAGAAGCGGGGGAUAACACCUGGAAACAGAUGCUAAUACCGCAUAAUAACUUGGACCGCAUGGUCCGAGCUUGAAAGAUGGCUUCGGCUAUCACUUUUGGAUGGUCCCGCGGCGUAUUAGCUAGAUGGUGGGGUAACGGCUCACCAUGGCAAUGAUACGUAGCCGACCUGAGAGGGUAAUCGGCCACAUUGGGACUGAGACACGGCCCAAACUCCUACGGGAGGCAGCAGUAGGGAAUCUUCCACAAUGGACGAAAGUCUGAUGGAGCAACGCCGCGUGAGUGAAGAAGGGUUUCGGCUCGUAAAACUCUGUUGUUAAAGAAGAACAUAUCUGAGAGUAACUGUUCAGGUAUUGACGGUAUUUAACCAGAAAGCCACGGCUAACUACGUGCCAGCAGCCGCGGUAAUACGUAGGUGGCAAGCGUUGUCCGGAUUUAUUGGGCGUAAAGCGAGCGCAGGCGGUUUUUUAAGUCUGAUGUGAAAGCCUUCGGCUCAACCGAAGAAGUGCAUCGGAAACUGGGAAACUUGAGUGCAGAAGAGGACAGUGGAACUCCAUGUGUAGCGGUGAAAUGCGUAGAUAUAUGGAAGAACACCAGUGGCGAAGGCGGCUGUCUGGUCUGUAACUGACGCUGAGGCUCGAAAGUAUGGGUAGCAAACAGGAUUAGAUACCCUGGUAGUCCAUACCGUAAACGAUGAAUGCUAAGUGUUGGAGGGUUUCCGCCCUUCAGUGCUGCAGCUAACGCAUUAAGCAUUCCGCCUGGGGAGUACGGCCGCAAGGCUGAAACUCAAAGGAAUUGACGGGGGCCCGCACAAGCGGUGGAGCAUGUGGUUUAAUUCGAAGCUACGCGAAGAACCUUACCAGGUCUUGACAUACUAUGCAAAUCUAAGAGAUUAGACGUUCCCUUCGGGGACAUGGAUACAGGUGGUGCAUGGUUGUCGUCAGCUCGUGUCGUGAGAUGUUGGGUUAAGUCCCGCAACGAGCGCAACCCUUAUUAUCAGUUGCCAGCAUUAAGUUGGGCACUCUGGUGAGACUGCCGGUGACAAACCGGAGGAAGGUGGGGAUGACGUCAAAUCAUCAUGCCCCUUAUGACCUGGGCUACACACGUGCUACAAUGGAUGGUACAACGAGUUGCGAACUCGCGAGAGUAAGCUAAUCUCUUAAAGCCAUUCUCAGUUCGGAUUGUAGGCUGCAACUCGCCUACAUGAAGUCGGAAUCGCUAGUAAUCGCGGAUCAGCAUGCCGCGGUGAAUACGUUCCCGGGCCUUGUACACACCGCCCGUCACACCAUGAGAGUUUGUAACACCCAAAGUCGGUGGGGUAACCUUUUAGGAACCAGCCGCCUAAGGUGGGACAGAUGAUUAGGGUGAAGUCGUAACAAGGUAGCCGUAGGAGAACCUGCGGCUGGAUCACCUCCUUUCUAAGGAA